UGGGGAAUAUUGGACAAUGGGCGAAAGCCUGAUCCAGCCAUGCCGCGUGUGUGAAGAAGGUCUUCGGAUUGUAAAGCACUUUAAGUUGGGAGGAAGGGCAGUUACCUAAUACGUGAUUGUCUUGACGUUACCGACAGAAUAAGCACCGGCUAACUCUGUGCCAGCAGCCGCGGUAAUACAGAGGGUGCAAGCGUUAAUCGGAAUUACCGGGCGUAAAGCGCGCGUAGGUGGUUUGUUAAGUUGGAUGUGAAAUCCCCGGGCUCAACCUGGGAGCUGCAUUCAAAACUGUCAAGCUAGAGUAUGGUAGAGGGUGGUGGAAUUUCCUGUGUAGCGGUGAAAUGCGUAGAUAUAGGAAGGAACACCAGUGGCGAAGGCGACCACCUGGACUGAUACUGACACUGAGGUGCGAAAGCGUGGGGGGCCAAACAGGAUUAGAUACCCUGGUAGUCCACGCCGUAAACGAUGUCAACUAGCCGUUGGGAGCUAGUGAGCUCUUGAGUGGCGCACUAACGCAUUAAGUUGACCGCCUGGGGAGUACGGCCGCAA
rnacentral:rRNA from 1 species